rnacentral:rRNA from 1 species
UGGAUCCAGACUUUGAUUAUGGCUCAGGACGAACGCUGGCGGCACGCCUAACACAUGCAAGUCGAACGGAGAUAAUUGAGUUUACUUGAUUAUCUUAGUGGCGGACGGGUGAGUAACACGUGAGCAACCUGCCUCUGAGAGAGGGAUAGCUUCUGGAAACGGAUGGUAAUACCUCAUAACAUAGCGGAACCGCAUGAUUCUGCUAUCAAAGAUUUAUUACUCAGAGAUGGGCUCGCGUCUGAUUAGCUAGUUGGUGAGGUAACGGCUCACCAAGGCGACGAUCAGUAGCCGGACUGAGAGGUUGAACGGCCACAUUGGGACUGAGACACGGCCCAGACUCCUACGGGAGGCAGCAGUGAGGGAUAUUGCACAAUGGAGGAAACUCUGAUGCAGCGAUGCCGCGUGGAGGAAGAAGGUUUUCGGACUGUAAACUCCUGUUUCGAGGGACGAUAAUGACGGUACCUCGGGAGGAAGCUCCGGCUAACUACGUGCCAGCAGCCGCGGUAAUACGUAGGGAGCGAGCGUUGUCCGGAAUUACUGGGUGUAAAGGGAGCGCAGGCGGGAUUGCAAGUCAGGUGUGAAAUGCAGGGGCUCAACCCCUGAGCUGCACUUGAAACUGUAGUUCUUGAGUGAAGUAGAGGUAAGCGGAAUUCCUAGUGUAGCGGUGAAACGCGUAGAUAUUAGGAGGAACAUCGGUGGCGAAGGCGGCUUACUGGGCUUUUACUGACGCUGAGGCUCGAAAGCGUGGGGAGCAAACAGGAUUAGAUACCCUGGUAGUCCACGCUGUAAACGAUGAUGACUAGGUGUGGGGGGACUGACCCCUUCCGUGCCGCAGUUAACACAAUAAGUCAUCCACCUGGGGAGUACGGCCGCAAGGUUGCAACUCAAAUGAAUUGACGGA